GAUGAACGCUAGCUACAGGCUUAACACAUGCAAGUCGAGGGGUAACGAGAGGAAAGCUUGCUUUCCUUGUCGACGACCGGCGCACGGGUGAGUAACGCGUAUCCAACCUGCCCCCAACUAAGGAAUAACCUUGCGAAAGUAAGACUAAUACCUUAUAAUUUCCUCAGAUGACAUCUGACGAGGAAUAAAGAUUUAUCGGUUGUGGAUGGGGAUGCGUCUGAUUAGCUUGUUGGCGGGGUAACGGCCCGCCAAGGCAACGAUCAGUAGGGGUUCUGAGAGGAAGGUCCCCCACAUUGGAACUGAGACACGGUCCAAACUCCUACGGUAGGCAGCAGUGAGGAAUAUUGGUCAAUGGGCGGAAGCCUGAACCAGCCAAGUAGCGUGCAGGAUGACGGCCCUAUGGGUUGUAAACUGCUUUUAUACAGGAAUAAAGUUAGCCACGUGUGGUUAUUUGUAGGUACUGUAUGAAUAAGGACCGGCUAAUUCCGUGCCAGCCGCCGCGGUAA
rnacentral:rRNA from 1 species